rnacentral:rRNA from 1 species
GACGAACGCUGGCGGCGUGCUUAACACAUGCAAGUCGAACGACGUAGCGAACAGGUGCGUAAUACUUGGGUACCCUGCCCUCCUUUUUGGGAUAUGCAUUGGAAACGGGGUCUAAUACCGAAUUCAGGGGGAUGGGCUCGCGGCCUAUCAGCUUGUUGGUGGGGUGAUGGCCUACCAGGGCGGUGAUGGGUAGCCGGCCUGCGGGGGGGACUGGCAACAUGGGGAGGAAGAGAAGGCCCAGGCUCGUACGGGAUGGAGCAGUGGGGGAUAUGGCACAAUGGGGGAAAGGCUGAGGCAGGGAAGCCGCGUGGGGUAUCAAGGCGUACGGGUUGUAAACUUCUGUCGAUAUCGAACGGGUAGGUGGAGAAGAAGCGACGGCUAACUACGUGCCAGCAGCCGCGGUAAUAC